rnacentral:rRNA from 1 species
UUUAUUCGCUCAGGACGAACGCUGGCGGCGUGCCUAAUACAUGCAAGUCGAACGAACUCUGGUAUUGAUUGGUGCUUGCAUCAUGAUUUACAUUUGAGUGAGUGGCGAACUGGUGAGUAACACGUGGGAAACCUGCCCAGAAGCGGGGGAUAACACCUGGAAACAGAUGCUAAUACCGCAUAACAACUUGGACCGCAUGGUCCGAGUUUGAAAGAUGGCUUCGGCUAUCACUUUUGGAUGGUCCCGCGGCGUAUUAGCUAGAUGGUGAGGUAACGGCUCACCAUGGCAAUGAUACGUAGCCGACCUGAGAGGGUAAUCGGCCACAUUGGGACUGAGACACGGCCCAAACUCCUACGGGAGGCAGCAGUAGGGAAUCUUCCACAAUGGACGAAAGUCUGAUGGAGCAACGCCGCGUGAGUGAAGAAGGGUUUCGGCUCGUAAAACUCUGUUGUUAAAGAAGAACAUAUCUGAGAGUAACUGUUCAGGUAUUGACGGUAUUUAACCAGAAAGCCACGGCUAACUACGUGCCAGCAGCCGCGGUAAUACGUAGGUGGCAAGCGUUGUCCGGAUUUAUUGGGCGUAAAGCGAGCGCAGGCGGUUUUUUAAGUCUGAUGUGAAAGCCUUCGGCUCAACCGAAGAAGUGCAUCGGAAACUGGGAAACUUGAGUGCAGAAGAGGACAGUGGAACUCCAUGUGUAGCGGUGAAAUGCGUAGAUAUAUGGAAGAACACCAGUGGCGAAGGCGGCUGUCUGGUCUGUAACUGACGCUGAGGCUCGAAAGUAUGGGUAGCAAACAGGAUUAGAUACCCUGGUAGUCCAUACCGUAAACGAUGAAUGCUAAGUGUUGGAGGGUUUCCGCCCUUCAGUGCUGCAGCUAACGCAUUAAGCAUUCCGCCUGGGGAGUACGGCCGCAAGGCUGAAACUCAAAGGAAUUGACGGGGGCCCGCACAAGCGGUGGAGCAUGUGGUUUAAUUCGAAGCUACGCGAAGAACCUUACCAGGUCUUGACAUACUAUGCAAAUCUAAGAGAUUAGACGUUCCCUUCGGGGACAUGGAUACAGGUGGUGCAUGGUUGUCGUCAGCUCGUGUCGUGAGAUGUUGGGUUAAGUCCCGCAACGAGCGCAACCCUUAUUAUCAGUUGCCAGCAUUAAGUUGGGCACUCUGGUGAGACUGCCGGUGACAAACCGGAGGAAGGUGGGGAUGACGUCAAAUCAUCAUGCCCCUUAUGACCUGGGCUACACACGUGCUACAAUGGAUGGUACAACGAGUUGCGAACUCGCGAGAGUAAGCUAAUCUCUUAAAGCCAUUCUCAGUUCGGAUUGUAGGCUGCAACUCGCCUACAUGAAGUCGGAAUCGCUAGUAAUCGCGGAUCAGCAUGCCGCGGUGAAUACGUUCCCGGGCCUUGUACACACCGCCCGUCACACCAUGAGAGUUUGUAACACCCAAAGUCGGUGGGGUAACCUUUUAGGAACCAGCCGCCUAAGGUGGGACAGAUGAUUAGGGUGAAGUCGUAAGGGGAAACCCCCGAAAAAAGGUAACAAGGCAUCCGUGGCCCGGACUAGGUACUCUUACCACUUAUCUCCCCCGGUGCUCCC